AAAAUUAUUCAAGCUAAACAAUACUAAACGUAAGAGUACCUACUCUGUUUUGCCCAUUUCUUUCCACUAAAUCCCCAUAAAGGCUCUGGGCCACGCUCUUCCCUCCUGACCGACCUUGGCACUUCCCCGUGUGGCCUGCGUGGUGUGCUGUGCCCCCUGUUUCUGAGAAUCUAAAAAGAAGGAGCAAAGAGAAACCCAAGCAGAUGCUACUAUUGAUUGAUUAUUUUUAAUUUACUGAUUGCCGAAUUUAUCCUUCUGAGUCAGAGUCACCUAGGCAAGACCAGCUGACUCCAGACACUUGAGUAAAAAAUGCCUGCCGCUGGAUGCCCUGAGGAUCUGAAGUUCUUUGUUACACAGCAUUACUAUGGCAAUAGGCGCAGUAUCAUGUCACAUUAAGAAGAGCCACACUAUUGAGAGUUCAAAGCCAUUGUGUCCCUGUGAAGAAAGGCCCAGAGCGCCAUCUAUGUAAGUCUGAAAGAAUCUCCCUCACUAUUGGAGCGCAAGCAUUGCUGCACUGAGUAGGGUAAUAACUAGAGUCCACACUGCUGAGACCGUUGCUUCUUCCACCUGCCUGUGUGCGUCUACAUAGUCACGUAUUCAUCGUCCCCACUCAUAUCCACGCAGCUUGUCCAACUGUUUAA